rnacentral:snRNA from 1 species
GGAUGUGAGGGCGAUCUGGCUGCGACAUAUGUCACCCCAUUGAUCGCCAGGGUUGAUUCGGCUGAUCUGGCUGGCUAGGCGGGUGUCCCCUUCCUCCCUCACCGCUCCAUGUGCGUCCCUCCCGAAGCUGCGCGCUCGGUCGAAGAGGACGACCAUCCCCGAUAGAGGAGGACCGUUCUUCGGUCAAGGGUAUACGAGUAGCUGCGCUCCCCUGCUAGAACCUCCAAACAAGCUCUCAAAUAAUCAUGGUUAAUGCCCAACAGAGGGGCUGGUUGUAGUGCUCUCAAUUCAAUAUAAUCAGUGCUACUACUGGCUUAGACUUUUUUGCCAUUCAUU